rnacentral:rRNA from 1 species
AAACUAACAAGGAUUUCCCUAGUAGUGGCGAACGACCGGGAAUUAGCCCAGCACCGAAUCCUGUAUCUUUGAUACUAGGAGUUGUGGUGUACAGGUUGUGUUUUUAAUUGUAGAGUAUGCUCCAAAUUCACUUGAUUGUGAUGUUGUCCAUAGAGGGUUGUAGACCCGUUGGAGUGUAUGAAACUUUUAUUGAUGCUUCCUAUGAGUCGGAUUGUUUGAGAAUGCAGUCCAAAUUUGGUGGUAAACUCCAUCUAAGGCUAAAUACUUGUGUGAGUCCGAUAGUAAACAAGUACCGUGAGGGAAAGUUGAAAAGAACUUUGAAGAGAGAGUUAAAUAGUACGUGAAAUCGCUUAGAGGUAAACGAGUGAAGCCGAAAAUGUUGUAUGGGAUUCAGUUAAUUGUGUAUUAUCUUGAUUUUGGUGAAAUCUCACUAGGAAUUGCCAAUUUUAAGCUCUUAAUAUCGCGGUUGAUGCACUUUCUAUACAGCAAUACUGCGACCGAUAGUGUUGUUUUUCUGUCGUAAUUGUGAAGGUGAUCAUUUCUUCGCGGAAAUGGUUUUAUAGCUAAUUGCACGGUUAAAUGAUUUAUCGGUUAAUUUGCGAUUGACUAAUUUUGGUUAUGAAUGAAUGUUAAUUGUUUAAUAGUAGACUAUUUAAUUAGGUUAUUGUUGAGUGAUUGAUGUUUGAUCAUUGAUUGAAGUGUUGAUCUAAAGUCUGCAGUUGUGUUAAUGUAGGUUACUACUCNNNNNNNNNNNNNNNNNNNNNNAUUAUCAUAUACAUCGCAUCUCCAAGGGCUUAAUGAAACCCCGGGGCGAAAUUAAUGUAAAGGUUUACUUCGGUGAACUGAGAUGUGACCUCAUGGAAACAUUGAGUGCAACAUCGACCCGUCUUAAGGUGUUCGCAUCUGGGCGGAGUUUGAGCGAUCAUGUAGAGACCCGAAAGAUGGUGAACUAUGCUUGUGCAGGUUGAAGUCAGAGGAAACUCUGAUGGAGGACCGCCGCGGUUCUGACGUGCAAAUCGAUCGUCGGACAUGAGUAUAGGGGCGAAAGACUAAUCGAACCAUCUAGUAGCUGGUUCCCUCCGAAGUUUCCCUCAGGAUAGCUGGCAUUUGUUGUUGUAGUUUUACCUGGUAAAGCGAAUGAUUAGAAGUAUUGGGGACGAAAUGUUCUCAACUUAUUCUCAAACUUUAAAUGGGUUCGAAGUGCGUCUCUCUUUAUUGGAGAUGUACAUUGAAUACAAGUGCUUAGUGGGCCAUUUUUGGUAAGCAGAACUGGCGAUGUGGGAUGAACCAAACAUCUGGUUAAGGUGCCUAACAUCACGCUCAUGAGAAACCACAAAAGGUGUUGGUUGAUAAAGACAGCAGGACGGUGGACAUGGAAGUCGUCAUCCGCUAAGGAGUGUGUAACAACUCACCUGCCGAAUCAACCAGCCCUGAAAAUGGAUGGCGCUGUAGCGUGGGACCUAUACCGGAUCGGUAUCGUAAGUACAAAUACGAGUAAGCGGUACCGUGUAGGAGGGUGCCGUGGUUGCUAAGAAGCUACUGGCGUGAGUCAGAGUGGAGCGGUCACGGGUACAGAUCUUGGUAGUAGUAGCAAUUAUUCAAGUGAGAUCCUUGAAG